AUCCCUUCCUGCCCAUUGUGGUUGAUGGGAUGCUGUUGCCAAAGACACCUGAAGAGAUUAUGGCAGAAAAGAAAUUCAACACCGUCCCCUACAUUGUUGGAAUCAACAAGCAAGAGUUUGGCUGGCUUCUUCCAAAAUUGAUGGGCUACCCACUCUCUGAAGGUAAACUGGACCAGAAGACAGCUGCAUCGCUCUUGUGGAAGUCCUACCCCCUUGUUGCCAUCCCUGAGGAACUGACUCCGGUGAUCACUGAGAAGUACUUAGGUGGGACAGAUGACCCUGUCAAAAAGAAAGACCUGUUCCUGGACAUGCUUGGAGAGGCAGCACUUGGUGUCCCAUCUGUGAUUGUGGCACGUCGUCACAGGGGUGAGUGCCAGAGGCUGGACAGGAGAGGGGAUGCUGUCCACCUCCAGAUCCUUUGUCUGUCCU